GCCCACUAAAAGAGCACGAGCACGAGCACGAGCACUUCGCAUGCGUUUACCCCUUCAUUCCCUUUUUUACCCUUUUCGAAUGUUUCUCUGUUUUCUUUUCGUUUCUCUCGCCGCAAGAGAAGAGAACGAUGAAGACGAACGAACCAGAGGCGGUGGGCGAUAAACGACGACGAAUGUCUAUCGAGGGUUUCUUGAGAAACUUGUGUUAUACCUUGUUGUACCUGCAUCAAAAUCAGGUCGUUCAUCAGUAUUUUGGAUCUGCAGGGAAGGAUCUCGCUGAUUUCACCUUUGCUUUUUUCUAUCUAGGUUUCGUGAUUUCUAGCUGUUCUUCACAUGCUUUUCAAUUUGUUCUUAUAGUUGUAUUGGAGAUUUCAAUUGUUGUUCAAAUAUCAAUAAAUUUCGGAAUUUCUCCCUGCCUCAGUUCGCUCAGAAAGCAAAUUCAUGUAUGAAGAAAGUUGAGGUUACUUGCAUAAUCUUCUACUUUAUCACCUUGUUUGCCUCAUUGGGUGUUCAUGCAUGCACCUGUUUCUCGUAAUUUUGAUUUGUAGCCAUUUGGAAAUAUUCCUAUAAUUCAAGGGUGGAGAAAGAUCUCUAUGAAGUUGAAAAGAUUGCGCAUGGUGUCAAAGCAAAAAUAGAAGCUUUAAACAGAGCUGUACUGAGAUACUGGAAAAUGCCUUGACUAAAAAAUUCAAGGAUCUCAAUGAUUGAGUUUCAGUAUUACAUUUCCCCCUCAAAUGGACUAAAGUUCAAUUCCAAGUCAUACAAAGUAACUGAGGUAAUUGGUUGAUUUUGAAAAUCAAAUUAUGGAAGAUUUCAUUGGGAUCAAGCAUUAAAGAAUUUGUUUAUGAAUAAACUUCUGUACUAUGGCUAUGUGCUUAGAUCACUUGUCGUACCUAAAAUGAUAGUAUAUAUUAGAUUUGGAUAUUAGUAGGCUUUAUGCUUUUAGAAACUCAUAAACUUGUAUCAGUUAGAAGUACUUGAUAUUUUAGUAUGAAUUUAGUGAAAUAUGUUUUUUCAAUGGAACUAUGAUGGUUAAGUUGUAAAAUAUUUCAAUUAAUUUUA